rnacentral:hammerhead_ribozyme from 1 species
AUUGGCUGACGAGUCCCAAAUAGGACGAAACGCGCGUCCUGGAU